CUCUCUCUCUCUCUCUCUCUCUCUCAUGCUCUCUCUCUCUCUCUCAUGCUCUCUCUCUCUCUCUCUCAUGCUCUCUCUCUCAUGCUCUCUCUCAUGCUCUCUCUCUCAUGCUCUCUCUCUCAUGCUCUCUCUCUCAUGCUCUCUCUCUCAUGCUCUCUCUCUCAUGCUCUCUCUCUCAUGCUCUCUCUCUCAUGCUCUCUCUCUCAUGCUCUCCACCCCUCCUCUCGCUUUUUUUUGCAGGAUGAGAAACAACUUGUCAGAGUAGCAACAGAGCCUCUGAUCCCCAGAGGGAGCAUUGGGUCCCAGGCGUAUUCAGACAGGCCAUAUUCCUGACAAUCAGGCUCCACAGAUGACUUCACAACCUGAGGGCGGUGUGAUCACAAUGAGCCCAGCCGUCCUCCCAUUCUUCCUUCCACCAGCUUCUACUGCUUGAGGGUCUCUGAUACUGAAGUCAUUGCAUUGCUCAUCCAGUCCUGUGCUGAAACCAGAGAACAGAACCACAUCAAAC
rnacentral:lncRNA from 1 species